CUCAGCACUCCCUCCCACCAUCACCGGGGGAGCGGGCGUUCCCGUCCCGAGGGGAGGCCGGAGACCGCAGGGAAGCCAGGAGUCAGCCGGGUUCCCAGACCCCCCCGACGCCACCUUCUCCUGCCCCCAAACACUGACUGCGCCCUCAGUGCUGAGAAGCCCGGGUGGAUAAGCCAACUGUGCUCGUCCUGCUGGGUUCUGAACCCAGCCAGGGCCGCGGAGACGGAGGUCCUGGUAAGGAACACAGUACUAACAAGCCACCACCAACCGGAAGAGUUCAGGAAAGGUCAUAAGGAGAUGCAACGUGUCCUACCACCUCCUAGAAUCCUCCUUGCUGGCAGCCAUCUUGACUGAGCAAUGCAUGCACCACCAGGAAGGACCCUGAGUCAGAAUGAUUGGCCAAGGGCAACCCGGAAACUAAUCCCAUCACCAUGAAACUGUGAACCGCAUGGCAGAGCAGUGCUCCUGGG
ensembl:lncRNA